UACGAAGGGGGCUAGCGUUGUUCGGAAUCACUGGGCGUAAAGCGCACGUAGGCGGAUCUUUAAGUCAGGGGUGAAAGCCCGGGGCUCAACUCCGGAAUUGCCUUUAAGACUGCAUCGCUAGAAUUGUGGAGAGGUAAGUGGAAUUCCGAGUGUAGAGGUGAAAUUCGUAGAUAUUCGGAAGAACACCAGUGGCGAAGGCGACUUACUGGACACAUAUUGACGCUGAGGUGCGAAAGCGUGGGGAGCAAACAGG
rnacentral:rRNA from 1 species